rnacentral:ncRNA from 1 species
UUAUGGUCUUAUUGAACAAUGGCCAAAAUUGUAGUGAACCUAUGAUUAUAAAUUAUCAAAUUGCGGGAAUAUCCUAAAGGAAUCUUAACCAAGUAAGUAUGGUAACAUAACUUAUGGCACAGGUAAUGACUCGUGGUACGGUAAAAUCAAGAUUUAUUAUUCAAUGGACAAUCCGCAGCCAAGUAUCUACCAAUUAUGAAAUAAUUGAAGAUAUGCAGUUCAUCGACUAGACGGUAAUUGGUGUGACUUAGUCAUGCUUAAGGUAUAGUCAGCCCCCACCUGAAAGGGUGCA